ensembl:lncRNA
UUUCCCAGUUAUCUUUCCUCAUCGCUACUCUCUCCUGCCGCUUGCUGCUUGCCCAGGAGCCGUCCCACAUGCCGGAGUAGCACUUGUUGCCUGUCAGUCACGAGUCUCAUCACUGCUGUUGGAGACAUAGAGGUUGUCUCAGAGUGGGAGUGAGGUGGAGUGACAGUGCUAUUUCCACUAUAGGUUUCAUCCAUAGAUAAAGUUACACUCGGGUAUGUGCGCCAGACACCCAAAUGUGACUGCAUGGUCAAUGAUGUAUUUGUGUGUGAGUGUGUGUGUGUGUGUGUGUACAUAUGUUUUUUCCCCCCGCCCCAAGAGGCUGUCCUAGCUGUCAGUCCUGCUCAGUCUGUGCGGCUUUGUGAACUGAAGCCUGUAGUGGGAGGAAUUUAGGCAGGCACUCAGCCCCACUGAAGUCAUCUGCACAGACCAGACGGAGUGGAACAAAAGCCAGAGUUCAGAGAAACACUCGAGCACAUGUGCCGCGGUGUGAGUGUGUGGGACUCGGUCAGAGUCGGUCAGAGCCGCGGACGGGCGAGAGAAGGACUGGGACGUGCAUGGAUCGGCUCGGGGGUUUCGGAGUUCACCAGUUGCUCAGCAGAAGUCUUUUCCAUCACUUACUUGUAGUUUGCUCUGAAGUCCCAGCAGGUUGAUGCAACAGAUGGUCUGUAGGUAGCUAGUGCUAAUGACGCUCCGUCUCGGCUGACCUCACCAGAUGGGAGGAGGGGGGGACAGAUUCAAACUGAAGGGGCAGAAGGUGGAAAAGAAGCAACAAAGUGUACAAAAAAGAUAAGGUUACAGGUUCGAGCAUGUCGUGGUCCCCUGAGGCUGCCUGAUUGGUUGCCGGGACAUCGCAGUAGUAGGAAAAGUACUUUUUAGAUACUGUAUUUUCAACAAAUAUGUUGCUGCAAAAAUGUAAAAAAUCAGGAGGUAAAAAUUAUUAUCCAGCAGGAAAGGGCCACAUAGUGAUUUGUUAUAAAACAUCUGACAUAGUGUGCCAUAGUAACUAUUUUUUUUAAACUUGCCGUAAAUUAUUUUAAUAAAAUGUAGUAAAAUCUUUUGUUUUGCCAUUUUUACUCAUAAAAGUGUGAAGUGACUAGAGUGAAAAGAGAAUUACGAUGUGCUGUGGCCCACACUGUACUGUAAAUAGACUAGUUGUCAUGGCGAUUUGUAGGUUGAUGUGCUUUUUUUGCUGGCAUAAAUAAGGUGGAUAAUCUCCGUCAUUGAUUCAACCACACUAGACCCCCU